rnacentral:sRNA from 1 species
UUUCUUUCUUUCUUUU